AAAGAAACCAACCGGGAUUACCUCAGUAACGGCGAGUGAAGCGGUAAGAGCUCAAAUUUGAAAUCUGGCCCCUCCGGGGUCCGAGUUGUAAUUUGCAGAGGAUGCUUCGGGUGCAGCCCCCAUCUAAGUUCCCUGGAACGGGACGUCAUAGAGGGUGAGAAUCCCGUAUGGGAUGGGGUGUCUGCGUCCGUGUGAAGCUCCUUCGACGAGUCGAGUUGUUUGGGAAUGCAGCUCUAAAUGGGUGGUAAAUUUCAUCUAAAGCUAAAUAUUGGCCGGAGACCGAUAGCGCACAAGUAGAGUGAUCGAAAGAUGAAAAGCACUUUGAAAAGAGAGUUAAACAGCACGUGAAAUUGUUGAAAGGGAAGCGCUUGCGACCAGACUCGCCUACGGGGUUCAGCCGGCUUUCGGGCCGGUGUACUUCCCCGUGGGCGGGCCAGCGUCGGUUUGGGCGGCCGGUCAAAGGCCUCGGGAAUGUAGCCCCUCUCGGGGGGCCUUAUAGCCCGGGGUGCAAUGCGGCCUGCCUGGACCGAGGAACGCGCUUCGGCACGGACGCUGGCAUAAUGGUCGUAAGCGAC
rnacentral:rRNA from 2 species